rnacentral:tRNA from 1 species
UCCCUAGUGGCUCAGAGGGUAAAAAGUCUGCCUGCAAUGCAGGAGACCCAGGUUCGAUCCCUGGGUUGGGAA